UACAGAGGGGGCAAGCGUUGUUCGGAAUUACUGGGCGUAAAGGGCGCGUAGGCGGCCGCCUAAGUCAGACGUGAAAUCCCUCGGCUCAACCGGGGAACUGCGUCUGAUACUGGGUGGCUUGAAUCCGGGAGAGGGAUGCGGAAUUCCAGGUGUAGCGGUGAAAUGCGUAGAUAUCUGGAGGAAUACCGGUGGCGAAGGCGGCAUCCUGGACCGAGAUUGACGCUGAUGAGCGAAAGCUAGGGGAGCAAACGGG
rnacentral:rRNA from 1 species